GCCUCGGUAGCUGGAAGGCAAAGCGCGGGCGUACGAAUGCCCAGGGACCGGGUUCGAAUCUCGGCCGAGGCG
rnacentral:tRNA from 1 species